UACAGAGGGGGCAAGCGUUGUUCGGAAUCACUGGGCGUAAAGCGCAUGCAGGCGGAUUGUUAAGUCGGGGGUGAAAUCCCGAGGCUCAACCUCGGAACUGCCUUCGAUACUGGCAAUCUUGAGUCCGGGAGAGGUGAGUGGAACUGCGAGUGUAGAGGUGAAAUUCGUAGAUAUUCGCAAGAACACCAGUGGCGAAGGCGGCUCACUGGCCCGGUACUGACGCUGAGGUGCGAAAGCGUGGGGAGCAAACAGG
rnacentral:rRNA from 1 species